UAGGGAAUCUUCGGCAAUGGGGGGAACCCUGACCGAGCAACGCCGCGUGAGUGAAGAAGGUUUUCGGAUCGUAAAGCUCUGUUGUUAAGGAAGAACGAGUGUGAGAAUGGAAAGUUCAUACUGUGACGGUACUUAACCAGAAAGGGACGGCUAACUACGUGCCAGCAGCCGCGGUAAUACGUAGGUCCCGAGCGUUGUCCGGAUUUAUUGGGCGUAAAGCGAGCGCAGGCGGUUAGAUAAGUCUGAAGUGAAAGGCAGUGGCUCAACCAUUGUAGGCUUUGGAAACUGUUUAACUUGAGUGCAGAAGGGGAGAGUGGAAUUCCAUGUGUAGCGGUGAAAUGCGUAGAUAUAUGGAGGAACACCGGUGGCGAAAGCGGCUCUCUAGUCUGUAACUGACGCUGAGGCUCGAAAGCGUGGGGAGCGAACAGG
rnacentral:rRNA from 1 species